rnacentral:rRNA from 1 species
CGAACGGGUGAGUAACACGUGGGUGAUCUGCCUCGCACUUCGGGAUAAGCCUGGGAAACUGGGUCUAAUACCGGAUAUGACCUCUUGUCGCAUGGCUUGGGGUGGAAAGAUUUAUCGGUGCGAGAUGGGCCCGCGGCCUAUCAGCUUGUUGGUGGGGUAAUGGCCUACCAAGGCGACGACGGGUAGCCGGCCUGAGAGGGCGACCGGCCACACUGGGACUGAGACACGGCCCAGACUCCUACGGGAGGCAGCAGUGGGGAAUAUUGCACAAUGGGCGAAAGCCUGAUGCAGCGACGCCGCGUGAGGGAUGACGGCCUUCGGGUUGUAAACCUCUUUCGACAGGGACGAAGCGCAAGUGACGGUACCUGUAGAAGAAGCACCGGCCAACUACGUGCCAGCAGCCGCGGUAAUACGUAGGGUGCGAGCGUUGUCCGGAAUUACUGGGCGUAAAAACUGGUAGGCGGUUUGUCCCGUCCUCUGUGAAAACUCCAAGCUCAACU